CCUACGGGAGGCAGCAGUGAGGAAUAUUGGUCAAUGGGCGAGAGCCUGAACCAGCCAAGUAGCGUGAAGGAUGACUGCCCUACGGGUUGUAAACUUCUUUUAUAAAGGAAUAAAACGAGGCACGUGUGCCUUUUUGCAUGUACUUUAUGAAUAAGGAUCGGCUAACUCCGUGCCAGCAGCAGCGGUAAUACGGAGGAUCCGAGCGUUAUCCGGAUUUAUUGGGGUUAAAGGGAGCGUAGAUGGGUUGUUAAGUCAGUUGUGUAAGUUUGCGGCUCAACCGUAAAAUUGCAAUUGAUACUGGCAGUCUUGCGUUCAGUUGAGGUAGGCGGCAUUCGUGGUGUAGCGGUU
rnacentral:rRNA from 1 species